CCGACCAAUGAUGACUUAAGUUACCGCCCCAGUCUGAUGAUUCAUGACUGAUCGGUAUUUUCUGACUGAA
ensembl:snoRNA SNORD31 Small nucleolar RNA SNORD31